AGCAGCAGCCGCGGGAAUACGGAGGGUGCAAGCGUUAUCCGGAUUUAUUGGGUUUAAAGGGUCCGUAGGCGGACUUAUAAGUCAGUGGUGAAAGCCUGUCGCUUAACGAUAGAACUGCCAUUGAUACUGUAAGUCUUGAGUAUAUUUGAGGUAGCUGGAAUAAGUAGUGUAGCGGUGAAAUGCAUAGAUAUUACUUAGAACACCAAUUGCGAAGGCAGGUUACCAAGAUAUAACUGACGCUGAGGGACGAAAGCGUGGGUAGCGAACAGGAUUAGAUACCCCGUAGUCCCUGUCUCUUAUACA
rnacentral:rRNA from 1 species